rnacentral:rRNA from 1 species
UACGGAGGGUGCAAGCGUUAUCCGGAUUAACUGGGUUUAAAGGGGGUGUAGGCGGUUAUUUAAGUCAGAGGUGAAAUCUCCAGGCUCAACCUGGAAACUGCCUUUGAUACUAUUUAUCUUGAAUUUUGUUGAGGUAGGCGGAAUAUAUCAUGUAGCGGUGAAAUGCAUAGAUAUGAUAUAGAACACCGAUUGCGAAGGCAGCUUACUAAGCAAACAUUGACGCUGAGGCACGAAAGCGUGGGGAUCAAACAGG